rnacentral:rRNA from 1 species
AUACGGAGGGUGCAAGCGUUACUCGGAAUCACUGGGCGUAAAGGACGCGUAGGCGGGUUGUCAAGUCAGGUGUGAAAUCCUACAGCUUAACUGUAGAACUGCACUUGAAGCUGGCAACCUAGAGUAUGGGAGGGGGAGAUGGAAUUAGUGGUGUAGGGGUAAAAUCCGUAGAUAUCACUAGGAAUACCUAAAGCGAAGGCGAUCUCCUGGAACAUUACUGACGCUAAGGCGUGAAAGCGUGGGGAGCAAACAGGAUUAGAUACCCUGGUAGUCCACGCCCUAAACGAUGAACACUAGUCGUCGCUCUGCUUGUCAGGGCGGUGAUGCACUUAACAGAUUAAGUGUUCCGCCUGGGGAGUACGUUCGCAAAAUUAAA